GGAGUUGCUAGUUCAGUGGUAGAGUACAUGCUUUAUAUGUAUGAUGUCCUGGUUUCAACCCACAGCUUCUCCC